GUAGGGUGCGAGCGUUAAUCGGAAUUACUGGGCGUAAAGUGUGCGCAGGCGGCCCCGCAAGUCGAGUGUGAAAUCCCCGAGCUUAACUUGGGAAUGGCGCUCGAAACUACGGGGCUCGAGUGUGGCAGAGGGAGGUGGAAUUCCACGUGUAGCGGUGAAAUGCGUAGAGAUGUGGAGGAACACCAAUGGCGAAGGCAGCCUCCUGGGUCAACACUGACGCUCAUGCACGAAAGCGUGGGGAGCAAACAGGAUUAGAUACCCUGGUAGUCCACGCCCUAAACGAUGAUGACUAGUUGUGGGAGGAGNUUAANNCCUUUAGUAACGCAGCUAACGCGAGAAGUCAUCCGCCUGGGGAGUACGGUCGCAAGAUUA
rnacentral:rRNA from 1 species